rfam:Stegodyphus mimosarum contig63941, whole genome shotgun sequence.
GCCUUCGUGGUGUAAUGGUCAGCACACUCAGCGCGUAUUCUAGAGGUCCGAGGUUCGAGCCCCGGCGGGGGCA